rnacentral:lncRNA from 1 species
CAGUAUUGUAUGUAUUCUUAGGGUUAGACUUUGGAAAGCUUAAAUGUUAUUUAAAAAAAUUAAAAUUUUACCUACAUGUGAUUAUUUUGUGUAUAGUAAACACUUUUUAAGUUUAAUUUGAUUUUAUGAAGUGUUUAGUUAGUUAAUUUAGAUUAGAGGUUAUGCUUAGGGCCUAGACGACUAACAUGUAAGUCGUCUGGCGAUUAGAAGACUUCUCUGAA